rnacentral:rRNA from 1 species
UACGGGGGGGGCAAGCGUUGUUCGGAAUUACUGGGCGUAAAGGGCUCGUAGGUGGCCAACUAAGUCAGACGUGAAAUCCCUCGGCUUAACCGGGGAACUGCGUCUGAUACUGGAUGGCUAGAGAUUGGGAGAGGGAUGCGGAAUUCCAGGUGUAGCGGUGAAAUGCGUAGAUGUCUGGAGGAACACCGGUGGCGAAGGCGGCAUCCUGGACCAACACUGACGCUGAGGAGCGAAAGCCAGGGGAGCAAACGGG